rnacentral:rRNA from 2 species
GCAGUCGAACGCGUUGGCCCAACUGAUUGAUUGUGCUUGCACAGGAUUGACCUUGGUUUCCCAACGAGUGGCGGACGGGUGAGUAACACGUAGGCAACCUGCCCCGAAGCGGGGGACAACAUUUGGAAACAAGUGCUAAUACCGCAUAACAACUUUGACCGCCUGGUCAAAGCUUAAAAGAUGGUUUCGGCUAUCACUUCGGGAUGGGCCUGCGGCGCAUUAGCUUGUUGGUGGGGUAACGGCCUACCAAGGCGAUGAUGCGUAGCCGAGUUGAGAGACUGAUCGGCCACAAUGGGACUGAGACACGGCCCAUACUCCUACGGGAGGCAGCAGUAGGGAAUCUUCCACAAUGGGCGCAAGCCUGAUGGAGCAACACCGCGUGAGUGAAGAAGGGUUUCGGCUCGUAAAGCUCUGUUGUUGAAGAAGAAUGUGCAAGAGAGUAACUGUUCUUGUAUUGACGGUAUUCAACCAGAAAGUCACGGCUAACUACGUGCCAGCAGCCGCGGUAAUACGUAGGUGGCAAGCGUUAUCCGGAUUUAUUGGGCGUAAAGCGAGCGCAGGCGGUUUUCUAAGUCUGAUGUGAAAGCCUUCGGCUUAACCGAAGAAGUGCAUCGGAAACUGGAUGACUUGAGUGCAGAAGAGGGCAGUGGAACUCCA